UACGUAGGGUGCAAGCGUUGUCCGGAAUUAUUGGGCCUAAAGCAUCCGUAGCCGGUUUUACAAGUCCUCCGUUAAAUCCAGCUGCUUAACAGAUGGGCUGCGGAGGAUACUAUAAGACUAGGAGGCAGGAGAGGCAAGCGGUACUCAGUGGGUAGGGGUAAAAUCCGUUGAUCCAUUGAAGACCACCAGUGGCGAAGGCGGCUUGCCAGAAUGCGCUCGACGGUGAGGGAUGAAAGCUGGGGGAGCAAACCGG
rnacentral:rRNA from 1 species